rnacentral:rRNA from 1 species
CAUGUUCACAUGAUUAAAGGUAUUCCGGUAGACGAUGGGGAUGCGUUCCAUUAGAUAGUAGGCGGGGUAACGGCCCACCUAGUCUUCGAUGGAUAGGGGUUCUGAGAGGAAGGUCCCCCACAUUGGAACUGAGACACGGUCCAAACUCCUACGGGAGGCAGCAGUGAGGAAUAUUGGUCAAUGGGCGCAGGCCUGAACCAGCCAAGUAGCGUGAAGGAUGACUGCCCUAUGGGUUGUAAACUUCUUUUAUAAAGGAAUAAAGUCGGGUAUGUAUACCCGUUUGCAUGUACUUUAUGAAUAAGGAUCGGCUAACUCCGUGCCAGCAGCCGCGGUAAUACGGAGGAUCCGAGCGUUAUCCGGAUUUAUUGGGUUUAAAGGGAGCGUAGAUGGAUGUUUAAGUCAGUUGUGAAAGUUUGCGGCUCAACCGUAAAAUUGCAGUUGAUACUGGAUAUCUUGAGUGCAGUUGAGGCAGGCGGAAUUCGUGGUGUAGCGGUGAAAUGCUUAGAUAUCACGAAGAACUCCGAUUGCGAAGGCAGCCUGCUAAGCUGCAACUGAC